UACGGAGGGUGCAAGCGUUAUCCGGAUUUAUUGGGUUUAAAGGGUCCGUAGGCGGACUCGUAAGUCAGUGGUGAAAUCUCACAGCUUAACUGUGAAACUGCCAUUGAUACUGCGGGCCUUGAGUGUUGUUGAAGUAGCUGGAAUAAGUAGUGUAGCGGUGAAAUGCAUAGAUAUUACUUAGAACACCAAUUGCGAAGGCAGGUUACUAAACAACAACUGACGCUGAUGGACGAAAGCGUGGGGAGCGAACAGG
rnacentral:rRNA from 1 species